CCUACGGGGGGCUGCAGUGAGGAAUAUUGGUCAAUGGGCGGAAGCCUGAACCAGCCAUGCCGCGUGCAGGAAGACGGCCCUACGGGUUGUAAACUGCUUUUCUGCGGGAAGAACGGCCCCUACGCGUAGGGGUGUGACGGUACCGCAGGAAUAAGGAUCGGCUAACUCCGUGCCAGCAGCCGCGGUAAUACGGAGGAUCCGAGCGUUAUCCGGAUUUACUGGGUUUAAAGGGUGCGUAGGCGGCUCCCUCAGUCAGCGGUGAAAUGUAUCGGCUC
rnacentral:rRNA from 1 species